rnacentral:rRNA from 1 species
UACGUAGGGAGCAAGCGUUGUUCGGAUUUACUGGGCGUAAAGGGCGCGUAGGCGGCAAAUUAAGUCAGCUGUGAAAUCUCCGAGCUUAACUCGGAACGGUCAGCUGAUACUGAUCUGCUAGAGUGCGGAAGGGGCAAUCGGAAUUCUUGGUGUAGCGGUGAAAUGCGUAGAUAUCGAAGGAAGACCAGUGGCGAAGGCGGGUCUCUGGACAGUUCCUGACGCUGAGGCACGAAGGUCAGGGGAGCAAACGGG